UCCGGCAACCUUUUCAAGAAUCUUGGAGGCACUGAUUAUUUCUGCCCUAGUUGCAAAGUGAAGUUUAAUUUUGAGUUAUCUGAUUCCGAAAAAUCACAGCCAAAAGUCAAAUGGAGCAAAAACAAUGGGCAGCUAGUGCUUCCAAAAAGGGUCAAUGUUCUAUGCAAUGGUGUGGAAGGAAUCUAUCAUCCAGGCCUUCACUUGUAAGUAUUUUUUUACAGAAUUCGUUUCCUAUUCU